AGUAACACGUGGGUAACCUGCCUGUAAGACUGGGAUAACUCCGGGAAACCGGGGCUAAUACCGGAUGGUUGUUUGAACCGCAUGGUUCAGACAUAAAAGGUGGCUUCGGCUACCACUUACAGAUGGACCCGCGGCGCAUUAGCUAGUUGGUGAGGUAACGGCUCACCAAGGCGACGAUGCGUAGCCGACCUGAGAGGGUGAUCGGCCACACUGGGACUGAGACACGGCCCAGACUCCUACGGGAGGCAGCAGUAGGGAAUCUUCCGCAAUGGACGAAAGUCUGACGGAGCAACGCCGCGUGAGUGAUGAAGGUUUUCGGAUCGUAAAGCUCUGUUGUUAGGGAAGAACAAGUGCCGUUCAAAUAGGGCGGCACCUUGACGGUACCUAACCAGAAAGCCACGGCUAACUACGUGCCAGCAGCCGCGGUAAUACGUAGGUGGCAAGCGUUGUCCGGAAUUAUUGGGCGUAAAGGGCUCGCAGGCGGUUUCUUAAGUCUGAUGUGAAAGCCCCCGGCUCAACCGGGGAGGGUCAUUGGAAACUGGGGAACUUGAGUGCAGAAGAGGAGAGUGGAAUUCCACGUGUAGCGGUGAAAUGCGUAGAGAUGUGGAGGAACACCAGUGGCGAAGGCGACUCUCUGGUCUGUAACUGACGCUGAGGAGCGAAAGCGUGGGGAGCGAACAGGAUUAGAUACCCUGGUAGUCCACGCCGUAAACGAUGAGUGCUAAGUGUUAGGGGGUUUCCGCCCCUUAGUGCUGCAGCUAACGCAUUAAGCACUCCGCCUGGGGAGUACGGUCGCAAGACUGAAACUCAAAGGAAUUGACGGGGGCCCGCACAAGCGGUGGAGCAUGUGGUUUAAUUCGAAGCAACGCGAAGAACCUUACCAGGUCUUGACAUCCUCUGACAAUCCUAGAGAUAGGACGUCCCCUUCGGGGGCAGAGUGACAGGUGGUGCAUGGUUGUCGUCAGCUCGUGUCGUGAGAUGUUGGGUUAAGUCCCGCAACGAGCGCAACCCUUGAUCUUAGUUGCCAGCAUUCAGUUGGGCACUCUAAGGUGACUGCCGGUGACAAACCGGAGGAAGGUGGGGAUGACGUCAAAUCAUCAUGCCCCUUAUGACCUGGGCUACACACGUGCUACAAUGGACAGAACAAAGGGCAGCGAAACCGCGAGGUUAAGCCAAUCCCACAAAUCUGUUCUCAGUUCGGAUCGCAGUCUGCAACUCGACUGCGUGAAGCUGGAAUCGCUAGUAAUCGCGGAUCAGCAUGCCGCGG
rnacentral:rRNA from 1 species